GAUGAACGCUGGCGGCGUGCCUAAUACAUGCAAGUCGAGCGAACAGACGAGGAGCUUGCUCCUUCGACGUUAGCGGCGGACGGGUGAGUAACACGUAGGUAACCUACCUAUAAGACUGGGAUAACUUCGGGAAACCGGAGCUAAUACCGGAUAAUAUUUCGAACCGCAUGGUUCGAUAGUGAAAGAUGGCUUUGCUAUCACUUAUAGAUGGACCUGCGCCGUAUUAGCUAGUUGGUAAGGUAACGGCUUACCAAGGCAACGAUACGUAGCCGACCUGAGAGGGUGAGCGCCCAAACUGGAACGGAGCCCCGUCCAGACCCCCGCGGGGAGGAGCAAGGGGGGAUUCUCCCGAAAGGGGAGAAAGCCGGAGGGGGCAACGCCGGGGGAGGAAGAAGGGUUUAGGGAUCGAAAAAUCUGUUAAUGAGGGAAAAAAAAAGGUGAAAGUACCUUGGCACGCCUGGACGGUACAUAACAAGAAACCCAGGGCUAAUUCGUGC
rnacentral:rRNA from 1 species